UCCUCCACUUCCUGGUAGUGGCCAGUUUCCUGUGGAUGCUGCUGGAGGCGCUCCAGCUCUACCUGCUGGUCCAGAGACUCUCUAGGAUCCAGGUCAUCCAGAGGGAAGGCCUCCAGAAGAAUACCUCUUCUGAUUGGCUAUCGGCAUCCCCUGGUGAUCGUCGGUGUGUCUGCAGCUGUGAAACGUGACGGCUUAUGGGGGAUCUAAAGUAUGCUGGCUGAAGCCAGAACAAUACUUUACCUGGGCUGUGUUAGGGCCAGUGUGUACUGUCCUAGCACUGAACUGGAUAUUGUUCUGCGUUACUAUCUGGAGUUUUGAGACCACCUUGGCUAACAUGAAGAGUGAUGUCUCACAGUCCAAAGA